rnacentral:rRNA from 1 species
CACGUAAGGUGCGAGCGUUGUUCGGAAUCAUUGGGCGUAAAGGGCAUGUAGGCGGCGUUUCAAGUCUGGAGUGAAAGCGCGGGGCUCAACCCCGCAACUGCUCUGGAAACUGGGAUGCUUGAGUCGCCGUGGCGGAGCCGGAAUUCCAGGUGUAGGGGUGAAAUCUGUAGAUAUCUGGAAGAACACCGAUGGCGAAGGCAGGCUCCGAGCGGACGACUGACGCUGAGGUGCGAAGGUGCGGGGAGCGAAC